UAAUAAAUGUUAGUCUCUAAGGUGCCACAAGUACUCCUUUUCUCCUCUGUUACAGCCUUCCUGUGUGACCUUGGCAGGGGUGAAAGUAAGUCGAGUGACUUAUCGGUACGCUGGGGCCAGUUCUGGCCCCCAGAAGGAGCGGGGUUGAGGGGGUCAGAGCCAGCCCCAGCCCACCCUGUAAGGCUUGGCACAGAGAAUUAUAUUAAGGACGGACUUAAUUCUGCAGCCCUUCAUUGAUCAGUGAUCUUUUAACUGACAUCCAUGAACAUUCUGUCAGAUCCAGUGCCCUCUGAAGUCAAUGGGAAGGUACCAAUGUCAAUGGAUGCACCGCAACAUAUUUGUCAUAUUAUAUAACUCCUCACGCCUGCUACUGCUUGUCUUACUCACCAACUUCUACAUGAAUGGAAGACGCAAGAGAUUUACUGCCCGUGCUAUCUCCUGGGAAUGACUUGUCAAGAUAAAACAGGAAGCCUGUAAUAUUAGCUAUGCAAUAAAACAAAAGUUGUGCUUCAAGUGAAAAUAUGAAACAAAACUCUCUCUCUCUCUCUCUCUCUCUCUCUCAAUAAGAGAGGAUUGAUGCCAAGGACACAGUGCAAGAACAAGACGACAGGAGGUAGAGAAGACACAUAUUAAAGGUGUUGACAGGUUAAUGUAUAAUAAACAAUUCCAGGAGGCAAAAUGCUGAGCAGAAGAAUAAGCUUCCAAAAUCUGAUCUAUGCCUUUCUUUGAUUAAAUGAAAAUCAAAGCCUGAAAGAAAAUAGAAGUUCCACCUCAGCUGGAUUGAUGGCUCUGUUAGAACACACGUUCUCCGUCCCGCUAUCUUGCUUCCUAAUAAAAGGUUACAAACAAACAUUCCUGUACAUUCAUCAGCCUGAUCCACCAUCUCAGUGAAAUGCCACGUGCAGCUGUUUCUAAAUACAUGCCAGGAAUCUGUCUCACUUACACCACUUUAUAGACUGGCUCACCCAGGGAUGGUCCCCGAGCUGCAAAGCCAGCCCAAAUGUAGCCUGAUUAAUUGUGCUAUGGGGACAGAAAAAGCCAGUGACUCAAAAUGGGAAUGUAGAAGCGGUUUCCUAGAGACAACUGGUUUAAUUGCUACCAAAAAGCCAGAGAGCAACAACUUUCCGUCACUAGCUUCCAAUCUGCCUUACAUUUGAGCCAAGGAUGUCCAUGUGAAAGGCUCCACGUUCCAUUCCAAAGGCGCCAACCUCCUGAACUGUCUUGCCUUGUUUUCCUAGAUCGCCUGCCACAGCAGCUUGCAAACUUGGUGUUAGUUAUUCGAAGACAUGUUAAAAUAUGUUCUGUGUAAGAACCAGCCGAGACAGAGAGCUGGCAGGCUCUCAAGUCCCAACCUUUGUUCCUCCCACAAUAAAGCUCAUGCUUCUGGAUCAAGC